rnacentral:misc_RNA from 1 species
GUGAAUCAUCAAAUUUUUGAACGCAAAUUGCACUCUCUGGUAUUCCGGAGAGUAUGCCUGUUUGAGGGUCAGUAUAAAUAAAAAUCGAGGUGUUGCUUAUGGUGACGCCAUCGGAAUUGGGUUAUCUUUAAUUUUAAUAAAGGUUUAAAGUGACCUAAAAUUGAUGAUAUCUUGUGUAUUUCAAGUUGUACAUAAGAAUUUUUUUUUUAUCUGUUUGGUGUUUGUCAAA